AUUUGUUUCCUCACCAAGAAAUCCACUAGAAAGAAAUAGCUAUGGCCAAGUACUCUACUUUUCUCGCCCUCAUCUUUUGCCUCCUCCUUGUGGCUGCAACUGAAAUGCAAAUGGCAGAAUGAAAAUACUGUUGGAAGAAAAGUCACAAGUGGAACGGGCCUUGCCAUUACUCUUACAAUUGUAUCCAUCAUUGCAAGCACUGGUUUGGAGCUAAAUAUGGUAUUUGCAAGAAGUAUAAACCAUGGGGUCACAAGUAUCACUGGGCAAAAUAUGCUUGCUACUGCUACUCUCCUUGCCAUCAUUGAGGAACUUCAGAGUCUCAAGGGUUGGCUUUGAUUACAUAAAUAAAUAAGAAGCUACCUAUUUUAUAUGUUAUGUGUGUAAUAAUAUAAUAAGGUCGAUUUAAGUCCCUAGUCUGACUUUUUGGCCAUGCUUUGCCUGAUUAGCAACAUUUGUGUUCCUUUCAUUGUAUUGUACUAUCAUUUACUAUUAGUGUUGCUGUGAUUAUGGUAUUUUGCUAAAUAAAUAUUUGUUGUGGUACGAUAAA